UCCCUGGUAGUCCAAUGGUUUAGACUCUGCACUUGCUCUGCAGGGGUUGCAGGUUCGAUCCAUGGUCGGGGAA
rnacentral:tRNA from 1 species